CCAGCCGGCCGGAUGGCCGCUCCCGCAAGCUUCGAAAGAAGGCGGGGGAGGAAAGUCCGGGCUCCACGGGAAUACGGUGCCGGGUAACGCCCGGCGGGGGCAACCCCAGGGAAAGUGCCACAGAGAUCAAACCGCCAAACGGCUUCGGCCGCGGCAAGGGUGAAACGGUGCGGCAAGAGCGCACCGCGCGGCCGGCAACGGCAGCGGCACGGCAAACCCCACCGGGAGCAAGACCGAAUAGGGGUGGCGCGAGCUUCGGCUCAGGGCUGUUUCCGGCCCGCCGCCCGGGUAGGUCGCGCGAAGCAUCCGGCGACGGAUGCUCCAGAUGAAUGGCCAUCCAGCGCCGGGCAACCGGCGCGGACAGAACCCGGCUUACAGGCCGGCUGGCGCC
rnacentral:RNase_P_RNA from 1 species